rnacentral:rRNA from 1 species
AGAGUUUGAUCCUGGCUCAGGACGAACGCUGGCGGCGUGCCUAACACAUGCAAGUCGAGCGAUGAAACCCUUCGGGGUGGAUUAGCGGCGGACGGGUGAGUAACACGUGGGUAACCUGCCUCAAAGAGGGGAAUAGCCUUCCGAAAGGAAGAUUAAUACCGCAUAAUAUGUUUUGGUCGCAUGACCUAGACAUCAAAGGAGUAAUCCGCUUUGAGAUGGACCCGCGGCGCAUUAGCUAGUUGGUGAGGUAACGGCUCACCAAGGCGACGAUGCGUAGCCGACCUGAGAGGGUGAUCGGCCACAUUGGAACUGAGACACGGUCCAGACUCCUACGGGAGGCAGCAGUGGGGAAUAUUGCGCAAUGGGGGAAACCCUGACGCAGCAACGCCGCGUGAAUGAUGAAGGCCUUCGGGUUGUAAAGUUCUGUCUUCUGGGACGAUAAUGACGGUACCAGAGGAGGAAGCCACGGCUAACUACGUG